rnacentral:rRNA from 1 species
AGAGUUUGAUCCUGGCUCAGGACGAACGCUGGCGGCGUGCUUAACACAUGCAAGUCGAACGGAGUUUUACUUUAAGCUUGCUUUUUGUAAAACUUAGUGGCGCACGGGUGAGUAACACGUGGGCAACCUGCCCGGAAGUCUGGGAUAACACCCCGAAAGGGAUGCUAAUACCGGAUACCUUCACUGAUUCUCAUGGAUUUGUGAAGAAAGAUUUAUUGCUUCCGGAUGGGCCCGCGUCCCAUUAGCUAGUUGGUGAGGUAACGGCUCACCAAGGCGACGAUGGGUAGCUGGUCUGAGAGGACGAUCAGCCACACUGGAACUGAGACACGGUCCAGACUCCUACGGGAGGCAGCAGUGGGGAAUCUUGCGCAAUGGGCGAAAGCCUGACGCAGCAACGCCGCGUGAACGAUGAAGGCCUUCGGGUCGUAAAGUUCUGUCAGGGGGGACGAUAAUGACGGUACCCCCGGAGGAAGCCCCGGCUAACUACGUGCCAGCCGCCGCGGUAAUUC